rnacentral:rRNA from 1 species
GGCUCGGUCGAGAGGCUGGCCCGUGGGCGUAGCGGAUCCUCGCUAUCGGCUGGAGUGUCCCGUUGUCGUGGUUCUGGUCGUCUGGUGUUAGCGCCCCCUGGUGGGAGUUAACCUUGGCGAUCGGGGUCGGACCCUCCCCUCCCCCUUUUUCCCCGUCUUCGGGGUCUCUGGGGCCGUUUUUCCAUAAGCACUUUGAGGAACAUGAAUGUGAAGACUGAGCUUGGGGGUUUUUGUGUUGCCAUUACUGGUGAUGCAGCCCGAGUCGAAAACUAAAAUAACGACUCUCAGCAACGGAUAUCUUGGCUCUUGCAACGAUGAAGAACGCAGCGAAAUGCGAUACCUAGUGUGAAUUGCAGAAUUCCGCGAAUCAUCGAGUUUUUGAACGCAAGUUGUGCCCGAGGGUUUUCCCAAGGGUAUGCCUGCCUGAGCGUCACCGCACUCCCACCUGGGCACUGUCCAGUGUGGAAUUGGCCGUCCGGGUCCCAAGGUAGAAGCUUUGGGUCGUGGUUGGCUGAAAUGUAGCUAUCUGGGCGCAGCCGAAGGGAGGCCGCGAGAAGGUGAUCUGCUCUUGACGGAGCAGAGUCUAAUUGGACAGUGUCCUUCUCUUUUGGUGGUCUAGAUGGGGGCACUCAAGAGUGCCAUUGGGGGGGACUGCAAGUAAUGUUGCAUGUCCCCUCUCUUACAGCUUGGACCUCAGAUCAGGCAAGAUUACCCGCUGAGUUUAAGCAUAUCACUAAA